rnacentral:rRNA from 1 species
UAACAAUGAUUUCCCUAGUAACGGCGAGUGAAGAGGAAAGAGCUCAAAGUUGGAACCUGUUUGGCUUAGCUAAACCGGAUUGUAAACUGUAGAAGUGUUUUCCUGACACGCCUGGUAAAAAAGUCCUUUGGAACAGGGCAUCAUAGAGGGUGAGAAUCCCGUGUUUGGCCAGAGCUGUUGUCUUUUGUGAUACAUUUUCAAAGAGUCAGGUUGUUUGGGAAUGCAGCCUAAAUUGGGUGGGUAAAUCUCACCUAAAGCUAAAUAUUUGCGAGAGACCGAUAGCGAACAAGUACCGUGAGGGAAAGAUGAAAAGAACUUUGAAAAGAGAGUUAAACAAGUAUGUGAAAUUGUUAAAAGGGAACCCGUUUGGAGCCAGACUGGCUUGACUGUAAUCAAUCUAGGCUUCGGCCUGGAUGCACUUGCGGUUUAUGCCUNCCNACGACAAUUUUUUUUGAGGGAAAAAACUAUUAGGAAUGUGCCCCCUUUCGGGGGGUGUUAUAGCCUUUUAGAAAAUACCUUGAAUUGGAUUGAGGAACGCAGUGAAUGCCUUUAGGCAAGAUUGCUGGGUGCUUUCGUUGAUAAAUGCUAGAAUUUCUGCCUUGGGUGGUGCUAGUGUUUAAAGAUGGAACUCGCCUAGUAUAUUUUUUAUUCGCUUAGGUUGUUGGCUUAAUGACUCUAAAUGA